UCCGAAGGGGGCUAUCGUUGCUCGGAAUGACUGGGCGUAAAGGGCGCGUAGGCGGACUGCACAGUCAGGCGUGAAAUUCCUGGGCUUAACCUGGGGACUGCGUCUGAGACGUGUGAUCUAGAGUGAGGAAGAGGGUCGUGGAAUUUCCAGUGUAGAGGUGAAAUUCGUAGAUAUUGGAAAGAACACCGGUGGCGAAGGCGGCGACCUGGUCCUUGACUGACGCUGAGGCGCGAAAGCGUGGGGAGAAAACAGG
rnacentral:rRNA from 1 species